rnacentral:ncRNA from 22 species
GUCGUGCGACUGGCGGAAGUGGAUUAACCACAGGGAGCACGAC